GCCGUUGUAGCUCAGCUGGUAGAGCACUUCCAUGGUAAGGAAGAGGUCACCGGUUCAAUCCCGGUUAACGGCUCCA
rnacentral:tRNA from 1 species